rnacentral:rRNA from 1 species
AUUGAACGCUGGCGGCAGGCCUAACACAUGCAAGUCGAACGAGUGGCGGACGGGUGAGUAAUGUCUGGGAAACUGCCCGAGGGAGGGGGGGAAAUACUGGAAACGGUAGCUAAUAUAGCAUACCAUAGGAUAUGCCCAGAUGGGAUUAGCUAGUAGGUGGGGUAACGGCUCACCUAGGCGACGAUCCCUAGCUGGUCUGAGAGGAUGACCAGCCACACUGGAACUGAGACACGGUCCAGACUCCUACGGGAGGCAGCAGGGGGGAAUAUUGCACAAUGGGCGCAAGCCUGAUGCAGCCAUGCCGCGUGUAUGAAGAAGGCCUUCGGGUUGUAAAGUACUUUCAGCGAGGAGGCGUUACUCGCAGAAGAAGCACCGGCUAACUCCGUGCCAGCAGCCGCGGUAAUUC